GUUUCCUGGCAGGAGUGGGAGAGCUAAGUCCUUAAAACAUGGGCCAGUUCUAAUGAGGAGCAUACUAAUGAAGAAAUACGAAUAAUACAAAGAGAAAAGGCAAGAGGAAAAAAUCCACUGAUCAACUACAAGCGGCCAUAAAAUCUGGAAAUAGGAGUGGCAGAAUCAGGUCUAUCAUGUCUGCCUGCAUCAUUUUCAGGACUUGUCAGACAAUGUUAUAUCUCCAGGAUGGAAGCCUGUCUAAUGGAAGCUGGAGUCCA